rnacentral:rRNA from 1 species
GACGAACGCUGGCGGCGUGCCUAAUACAUGCAAGUCGAACGCAGUGGGGACGGGUGAGUAACACGUGGGUAACCUCCCCUCAGAGGGGAUUACACUUGGAAACAGGUGCUAAACCGAUACUGAUGGAUGGGCCCGCGGUGCAGUAGCUAGUUGGUGAGGUAACGGCUCAACAAGGCGACGAUGCAGAGGCGCCCUGAGAGGGCGAUCAGCCACACUGGGACUGAGACACGGACCAGACUCCUACGGGAGGCAGCAGUAGGGAAUCUUCGGCAAUGGAGGAAAGUCUGACCGAGCAAUGCCGCGUGAGUGAAGCAGGUUUUCGGAUCGUAAAACUCUGUUGUUAGAGAAGCGGUAUCUAACCAGAAAGCCACGGCUAACUACGUGCCAGCAGCAGCGGUAAUAG